rnacentral:rRNA from 1 species
CAAUAGCGUAUAUUAAAGUUGUUGCAGUUAAAAAGCUCGUAGUUGGAUUUCUGGUGGGAGCGGCCGGUCCGCCGUAAGGUGUGUACUUGGUUGUCUCCUGUCAUCCUUGUGGGAACUGCUCUGGCAUUAAGUUGUCGGGGUUAGGGAACACAUCGUUUACUGUGAAAAAAUUAGAGUGUUUAAAGCAGGCUUAUGCCGUUGAAUACAUUAGCAUGGAAUAAUAAGAUAGGACUUUGGCGUCUAUUUUGUUGGUUUGCACACCAAGGUAAUGAUUAAUAGGGAUAGUUGGGGGUAUUCGUAUUUAAUUGUCAGAGGUGAAAUUCUUGGAUUUAUGAAAGACGAGCUUCUGCGAAAGCAUUUACCAAAGAUGUUUUCAUUAA